AUUGGACGCUGGCGGCAUGCCUUACACAUGCAAGUCGAACGGCAGCACGGGAGCAAUCCUGGUGGCGAGUGGCGAACGGGUGAGUAAUAUAUCGGAACGUGCCCAGUAGUGGGGGAUAACUGCUCGAAAGAGCAGCUAAUACCGCAUACGACCUGAGGGUGAAAGGGGGGGAUCGCAAGACCUCUCGCUAUUGGAGCGGCCGAUAUCAGAUUAGCUAGUUGGUGGGGUAAAGGCCUACCAAGGCAACGAUCUGUAGUUGGUCUGAGAGGACGACCAGCCACACUGGGACUGAGACACGGCCCAGACUCCUACGGGAGGCAGCGGUGGGGAAUUUUGGACAAUGGGCGCAAGCCUGAUCCAGCAAUGCCGCGUGCAGGAAGAAGGCCUUCGGGUUGUAAACUGCUUUUGUCAGGGAAGAAAUCCUCUAGGUUAAUACCCUUGGGGGGAUGACGGUACCUGAAGAAUAAGCACCGGCUAACUACGUGCCAGCCGCCGCAGUAAAAC
rnacentral:rRNA from 1 species